rnacentral:rRNA from 1 species
CGCCAGACUCCUACGGGAGGCAGCAGUGGGGAAUAUUGCACAAUGGGGGGAACCCUGAUGCAGCGACGCCGCGUGGGUGAAGGAGCACCUCGGUGCGUAAAGCCCUAUCGGCAGGGAAGAAACAGACGGUACCUGACUAAGAAGCCCCGGCUAACUACGUGCCAGCAGCCGCGGUAAUACGUAGGGGGCAAGCGUUAUCCGGAUUCACUGGGUGUAAAGGGAGCGUAGACGGCGACGCAAGUCUGGAGUGAAAGCCCGGGGCCCAACCCCGGGACUGCUUUGGAAACUGUUAAGCUGGAGUACUGGAGAGGCAAGCGGAAUUCCUAGUGUAGCGGUGAAAUGCGUAGAUAUUAGGAGGAACACCAGUGGCGAAGGCGGCUUGCUGGACAGAGACUGACGUUGAGGCUCGAAAGCGUGGGGAGCAAACAGGAUUAGAUACCCGGGUAAA